rnacentral:pre_miRNA from 1 species
UUUUCUGUAAUACUACCUCCGGUCCUAUUUAUAAGAGAAAUUUAGAUCAACAUAAGUGAAUGUAUUUGGACUGAAUUUUUAACUAGAUACAUCAACUUUUGUUGACCCAAAAUUCUCUUAUAAAUAGGACCGGAGGGAGUACUUGGAAUCAC